rnacentral:rRNA from 1 species
AACGAACGCUGGCGGCAGGCCUAACACAUGCAAGUCGAACGCCCCGCAAGGGGAGUGGCAGACGGGUGAGUAACGCGUGGGAACGUGCCCUUCGGUUCGGAAUAACUCAGGGAAACUUGAGCUAAUACCGGAUACGUCCGUAAGGAGAAAGAUUUAUCGCCGAAGGAUCGGCCCGCGUCGGAUUAGCUAGUUGGUGAGGUAACGGCCCACCAAGGCGACGAUCCGUAGCUGGUCUGAGAGGANGAUCAGCCACACUGGGACUGAGACACGGCCCAGACUCCUACGGGAGGCAGCAGUGGGGAAUAUUGGGCAAUGGGCGAAAGGCCUGACCCAGCGACGCCGCGUGGGUGAUGAAGGCC